UACAGAGGUGCCAAGCGUUAGGCGGAAUCACUGGGCUUAAAGCGCGCGUAGGCGGAUGUUUAAGUGUCUUGUGAAAUCCCACGGCUCAACCGUGGAACUGCUGGGCAUACUGCGGGUCUUGGGCCAACUAGGGGCAGCCGGAACAAGCGGUGGAGCGGUGAAAUGCGUAGAUAUCGCUUGGAACGCCGAAGGUGAAAACAGGCUGCUGGGGUUGCGCCGACGCUGAGACACGAAAGCCAGGGGAGCAAACGGG
rnacentral:rRNA from 1 species